rnacentral:rRNA from 1 species
CCUACGGGGGGCAGCAGUGGGGAAUUUUGGACAAUGGGCGCAAGCCUGAUCCAGCAAUGCCGCGUGCAGGACGAAGGCCUUCGGGUUGUAAACUGCUUUUGUACGGAGCGAAAAGGCUCUCUCUAAUACAGGGAGUUGAUGACGGUACCGUAAGAAUAAGCACCGGCUAACUACGUGCCAGCAGCCGCGGUAAUACGUAGGGUGCAAGCGUUAAUCGGAAUUACUGGGCGUAAUACGUGCGCAGGCGGUGAAAUCGCCGGGAUCAGCCUGGGAACUGCCUUUGUGACUGCAUAGCUAGAGUACGGCAGAGGGUGAUGGAAGUCCGCGUGUAGCAGUGAAAUGCGUAGAUAGGCGGAGGAACACCGAUGGCGAAGGCAAUCCCCUGGGCCUGUACUGACGCUCAUGCACGAAAGCGUGGGGAGCAAACAGGAUUAGAUACCCCAGUAGUC